UACAGAGGGGGCAAGCGUUAUUCGGAAUUAUUGGGCGUAAAGGGCGCGUAGGCGGCCUGGCAAGUGGAAGGUGAUAUCCCUCGGCUUAACCGAGGAACUGCCCUCCAAACUGCUUGGCUUGAGUCCGGGAGAGGUGAGUGGAAUUCCCAGUGUAGCGGUGAAAUGCGUAGAUAUUGGGAGGAACACCAGUGGCGAAGGCGGCUCACUGGACCGGAACUGACGCUGAGGCGCGAAAGCGUGGGGAGCAAACGGG
rnacentral:rRNA from 1 species